GUCCCUGUAGUGCAAAGGAUAGCGCGUUGGACAUCUAAUUCAAUGGUCAUGGGUUCGAAUGCCGCCUGGGAUG